CCAAGGCCACGUGAGAAGGUCGGGGACCAGCUCUUGGGCUCAUGGACGGCGGUAGGCUAACACAUCUCACAGAGCAAAGCAAGAUUUCCAGAACCUGGAAGUAGUGGUCCAGGACCCUGGAGAGAGGGCUUACUGCCCCGAUGCAAUGAAGCCACCCAGAAUGGAGUUGAGCUCCCAGGGAUGCUGAGUCCUGCACCAGCGGAGACAAUUUCAACUUGGAGAAAUCCAUCUCACUUAGGCAAUUUCGCUUUCAAGCCCAAAGCACCCCCCCUUCUGCCGACACCCCGCGCAUCAUCCAUCUCCUGACACCAAAGACGCAUCCAGCUAGUCUGUGCAGCCCAGCACCGCUAAGUUCUGGGGGCCACGGCGCUGUCCCCAGGAAGAGGGCCUCAUGCACAGCCCGGACCUCUCCAACCAAGAUGCAGCCAGCUCCGCUGCCAGACCAGCUGCGCCAAAAGAUUGGCGACACCCCGACGCGAUCAAGCCCGCACCAUCA